rnacentral:lncRNA from 1 species
GUUAGGAGUGUUUAUCAGACCAUGUGGACACCUCCUAGUGGUGGGGUUGUUAGGAGUGUUUAUCAGACCAUGUGGACACCUCCUAGUGGUGGGGUUGUUAGGAGUGUUUAUCAGACCAUGUGUUAUCAGUUCAUACAGGUGAUAAUGUAGAUAGACUAACCCGAUGAUUCAGCCUAUGUAUUUAUAGUCACUAUGCUGCAUCAGUUCAUACAGGUGAUAAUGUAGAUAGACAAACCCCAUGCUUCAGCCUAUGUAUUUAUAGCCACUAUGCUACAUCAGUUCAUACAGGUGAUAAUGUAGUUAGACAAACCCCAUGCUUCAGCCUAUGUAUUUAUAGCCACUAUGCUGCAUCAGUUGGGUUACAGGUGAUAAUGUAGAUAGACAAACCCCAUGAUUCAGCCUAUGUAUUUAUAGUCACUAUGCUACAUCAGUUGAUACAGGUGAUAAUGUAGAUAGACAAACCCCAUGCUUCAGCCUAUGUAUUUAUAGACACUAUGCUGCAUCAGUUGGGUUGCAGGUGAUAAUGUAGAUAGACAAACCCCAUGCUUCAGCCUAUGUAUUUAUAGACACUGUGCUGCAUCAGGUGAUAAUGCUUAUUACUAAUAGCUGAUAAUAUACCAUCCAUACAGGUUUUUUGUUCCAAUGUGUUAAAAUCAUUUAACAUUUUUACCAAUAUCUUAUUGGGCUCAUUUCUGG